UACGUAGGGUGCAAGCGUUUGUCCGGAAUUAUUGGGCGUAAAGAGCUCGUAGGCGGUUUGUUGCGUCGGCUGUGAAAUCCCGAGGCUCAACCUCGGUCUGCAGUCGAUACGAGCAAACUAGAGUGUUGCAGGGGAGACUGGAAUUCCUGGUGUAGCGGUGAAAUGCGCAGAUAUCAGGAGGAACACCGGGUGGCGAAGGCGGGUCUCUGGGCCGAAUAUCGACGCUGGAGGAGCGAAAGCGUGGGGAGCGAACAGG
rnacentral:rRNA from 1 species